CAUGUUUAAUUACUACAGUACACAACACACUCCUCCAGCGCUACUCUAAACUCACAGCCCUCUGAUCCAGGAAACAACAGCUGUCACACUGAGAGAGAGAGAGAGAGAGAGAGAGAGAGAGAAAGAGAGAAGAAAGAAGUAAAGCAUGCAGAUACACAAAGAUAUACUAAUAUACAGGGGUUGGACAAUGAAACUGAAACACCUGGUUUUAGACCACAAUAAUUUAUUGUGGUGACGGACAGUUCUGGUGGAAACAGGAGAGUUGAGGUGCACGUUGAAUUCUGUCGUGAUUUGAUCAGCCGUGGUUUUAUGUUUUUUGGAUACAAUCCGGGUUAGCACCCGAACAUCCCUUUCAGACAGCUUCCUCUUACAGCGUCCACAGUUAAUCCUGUUGGAUGUGGUUGGUUCUUCUUGGUGGUAUGCUGACAUUACCCUGGAUACCGUGGUUCUUGAUACUUGAUCACAAAGACUUGCUGUCUUGGUCACAGAUGCUCCAGCAAGACGUGCACCAACAAUUUGUCCUCUUUUGAACUCUGGUAUGUCACCCAUAAUGUUGUGUGCAUUGCAAUAUUUUGAGUAAAACUGUGCUCUUACCCUGCUAAUUGAACCUUCACACUCUGCUCUUACUGGUGCA